UUAUUUACUAAUUAUAUAAGUAUUUAUUUGACGACCUCCCUACGCAGUGGUAAGCACUAUGGGAUGGCUGUGCUUAUUAGUGGGAGGUCCCGGGUUCGAUUCCCGGCAGGGGUUUGGAAUUUUAGAAUUCUAAAUUUCUGGUCUGGUCUGGUGGAAGACUUCGGCCGUGGCUAGUUACCACCCCAGCCCCAAAG